rnacentral:rRNA from 2 species
CUUGGAGGUUGUGCCCUUGAGGCGUGGCUUCCGGAGCUAACGCGUUAAGUAGACCGCCUGGGGAGUACGGCCGCAAGGUUAAAACUCAAAUGAAUUGACGGGGGCCCGCACAAGCGGUGGAGCAUGUGGUUUAAUUCGAUGCAACGCGAAGAACCUUACCUGGUCUUGACAUCCACGGAACUUUCCAGAGAUGGAUUGGUGCCUUCGGGAACCGUGAGACAGGUGCUGCAUGGCUGUCGUCAGCUCGUGUUGUGAAAUGUUGGGUUAAGUCCCGCAACGAGCGCAACCCUUAUCCUUUGUUGCCAGCGGUCCGGCCGGGAACUCAAAGGAGACUGCCAGUGAUAAACUGGAGGAAGGUGGGGAUGACGUCAAGUCAUCAUGGCCCUUAC